CUUAUAUAGUUAAUUAUUAAUAUUAGAUUGUGGUUCUAAAGGUUUUUAAGCUA
rnacentral:tRNA from 1 species